AUUGAACGCUGGCGGCAGGCCUAACACAUGCAAGUCGAGCGGAUGAAGGGAGCUUGCUCCUGGAUUCAGCGGCGGACGGGUGAGUAAUGCCUAGGAAUCUGCCUGGUAGUGGGGGAUAACGUCCGGAAACGGGCGCUAAUACCGCAUACGUCCUGAGGGAGAAAGUGGGGGAUCUUCGGACCUCACGCUAUCAGAUGAGCCUAGGUCGGAUUAGCUAGUUGGGGGGGUAAAGGCCUACCAAGGCGACGAUCCGUAACUGGUCUGAGAGGAUGAUCAGUCACACUGGAACUGAGACACGGUCCAGACUCCUACGGGAGGAAGCAGUGGGGAAUAUUGGACAAUGGGCGAAAGCCUGAUCCAGCCAUGCCGCGUGUGUGAAGAAGGUCUUCGGAUUGUAAAGCACUUUAAGUUGGGAGGAAGGGCAGUAAGUUAAUACCUUGCUGUUUUGACGUUACCAACAGAAUAAGCACCGGCUAACUUCGUG
rnacentral:rRNA from 1 species